AGGAGGAGGAGGGGAGGCUCGAGCGGCUCCUUUUAAACCCUGGGGACGCGCAGAGCUGCGCACCAUCUGGCAAGCUGCGCCGGCGCAGUACGCCGUGGCGUGAUGAGAUUUCUUCUCGAGUUCACUGGGGACCUCACGCCAGCCUGCGUGAGCUUAAACGCGUGCCUUUCGGCUAUCUCACAGUGGCUUGGCUGUCGUGCCAAGUCACAACACCAUCCCCGCACACAAAGCCACUGUGGAAAGAGUAUUUUCGCUGAUGUCGGCCCAGUAGAGUGUAGAAAGGAAUCGACUGCUGCCACGGACUAUGGAAUCAGUCUCACAUUGCCAGUUUAAUUACAAGUUGACUUGCAUCGAGUCUUAUAUAUACGUAAAAGAAAAAAAAAAAGAUGAGCUGAAAAAGGUGAAAUCUUCUGAGAAAUAUGGUGUACCAAUUACUU